UACGUAGGGGGCAAGCGUUGUCCGGAAUCAUUGGGCGUAAAGGGUGCGUAGGCGGCGCGGUAAGUCGGGUGUGAAAUCUCGGAGCUUAACUCCGAAACUGCAUUCGAUACUGCCGUGCUUGAGGACUGGAGAGGAGACUGGAAUUUACGGUGUAGCGGUGAAAUGCGUAGAUAUCGUAAGGAAGACCAGUGGCGAAGGCGGGUCUCUGGACAGUUCCUGACGCUGAGGCACGAAGGCCAGGGGAGCAAACGGG
rnacentral:rRNA from 1 species